GUGGGGAAUAUUGGACAAUGGGCGAAAGCCUGAUCCAGCCAUGCCGCGUGUGUGAAGAAGGUCUUCGGAUUGUAAGCACUUUAAGUUGGGAGGAAGGGCAGUAAGUUAAUACCUUGCUGUUUUGACGUUACCAACAGAAUAAGCACCGGCUAACUUCGUGCCAGCAGCCGCGGUAAUACGAAGGGUGCAAGCGUUAAUCGGAAUUACUGGGCGUAAAGCGCGCGUAGGUGGUUUUGUAAGUUGGAGGUGAAAUCCCCGGGCUCAACCUGGGAACUGCCUCCAAAACUGCAUGACUAGAGUACGGUAGAGGGUAGUGGAAUUUCCUGUGUAGCGGUGAAAUGCGUAGAUAUAGGAAGGAACACCAGUGGCGAAGGCGACUACCUGGACUGAUACUGACACUGAGGUGCGAAAGCGUGGGGAGCAAACAGGAUUAGAAACCCGUGUAGUCC
rnacentral:rRNA from 1 species